rnacentral:rRNA from 1 species
AGCAGCCGCGGUAAUUCCAGCUCCAAUAGCGUAUAUUAAAGUUGUUGCAGUUAAAAAGCUCGUAGUUGAAUUUCGGGGUUAGUAGGUUGGUCAUGCCUCUGGUAUGUACUGAUCUCACUGAUUCCUCCUUCCUGAUGAACCGUAAUGCCAUUAAUUUGGUGUUGCGGGGAAUUUGGACUGUUACUUUGAAAAAAUUAGAGUGUUUAAAGCAAGCUAACGCUUGAAUACAUUAGCAUGGAAUAAUGAAAUAGGACGUUCGAUCCUAUUUUGUUGGUUUCUAGGAUUGACGUAAUGAUUAAUAGGGAUAGUUGGGGGCAUUAGUAUUCAAUUGUCGGAGGUGAAAUUCUUGGAUUUAUUGAAGACUAACUACUGCGAAAGCAUUUGCCAAGGAUGUUUUCAUUAAUCAAGAACGAAAGUUAGGGGAUCGAAGACGAUCAGAUACCGUCGUAGUCUUAACCAUAAACUAUGCCGACUAGGGAUCGGAUGAUGUAAUUUUUAAUGACUCAUUCGGCGCCUUACG